rnacentral:snRNA from 1 species
AUCGCUUCUCGGCCUUUUGGCUAAGAUCAAGUGAAGAAUUAUUUAAUUUUAUUUAUUGUUAUUAUUAUUC